GCGGGAGAGGCCGCGGGAGAGGCCGCUUCAUUGGCGCAACGACGCCUUGGCCCCCGGGGAUGCUGCGAUUCCCGAGGCAGGGCCUGGGGGAGUCUCCCGAGUGCCCCGAGACCUUUGUCUGCCCCUCGUCCCCCGCGGGGGCCUGGACCUUUCGCGCAGAGGGAGGCCUGGUGCAUUCUGAGCUCCCUGCUCUGCCCCGUUUUGCACCGACCUUGUCACUGGGGGAGGCCAAGGGGAGGAGGCCCAGCCUCGUGAUGAGGAAUAGCAAGGAGAGACUUCAGCUCCAGUUAAAAAGCCUGCAAAGCCUGAGCCCACUCCUGCUUUUGUAAGGUGAGUUGACUGAGCCACGCUCGCUGACCAGAGGUGGCUCUCGUGCUCAGCCACUCUGGAAAGCCAAGAGCCAUGUGGCAGUUCCACUUGUGACUGCCUUGCAAGAGGAUUGUCCCUGUCAGCCGUUUAUGGAAUCUUCUGGAAUUGUCCCAUAGAAAGGCUACCUGAAAUCGUGUUACACUGUGUUCACCUGAUAGAAUUUUAUUUCUCUCUACAUUGUUUGAAAGACUGAACCAGAAAGAUUUUUGUUUUAACAUUGCCACAUUACAUUCUUUUAGAUCCCUAGAAAAUAUUUC
rnacentral:lncRNA from 1 species